UUCCGGCGCUGUGCCCCGGAAGCGGAAGUGUGGCUCCCGAUCUGUCAGCGGCUCGGUGCUGCUCGGUGGUCCUGAAGUCUAGGAAAGUCGUUUCUCGCUCAUUUUCCGUGGCUGUCGAGCGCUUCCCCCGGCGGGUGGGAGUGCAGAGCCGGAAGUGCAGGAUGAGCACCAUGUUCGCGGACACGCUGCUCAUCGUGUUCAUCUCCGUGUGCACGGCUCUUCUCGCCGAGGGUAUCACCUGGGUUCUGGUUUACAGGACGGACAAGUACAAGAGGCUGAAGGCGGAAGUGGAAAAACAGAGUAAAAAAUUGGAAAAGAAGAAGGAAACAAUAACAGAGUCAGCUGGCCGACAACAAAAAAAGAAAAUAGAGAGGCAAGAAGAGAAGCUGAAGAACAACAACAGAGACCUAUCCAUGGUUCGAAUGAAAUCCAUGUUUGCAAUUGGCUUUUGUUUUACUGCCCUGAUGGGGAUGUUCAAUUCCAUAUUUGAUGGCAGAGUGGUGGCAAAGCUCCCUUUCACGCCCCUUUCCUACAUCCAAGGACUGUCCCAUCGAAAUCUGCUGGGGGAUGACACCACUGACUGCUCCUUCAUCUUCCUGUAUAUUCUCUGCACCAUGUCCAUUCGGCAGCGGUGGAAGCGGUAGGCCCGCCAACAUCCCUGAGAGGUGUCAAUAACAGUCCAGGGUGGUGACGGGCAUUUCCUUCACUCCUUCAUUAAGAACAUCCAGAAGAUUCUCGGCCUUGCCCCUUCGCGAGCUGCCACCAAGCAGGCAGGCGGGUUUCUUGGCCCUCCACCUCCUUCUGGGAAGUUCUCCUAAAAUCAAGAAGAACCUGCAAUUCCUGCCACUUUUUAAGGUCUUCAAAUUAGAGGAACAACUAUUUUAUAGCAAGAGCCACCGGCAGCCUCGGCACUCGGGCCACUUUCUCGCCUUGUUUCUAGACUUUAUGGAUGUGAUUAGAAUGCGAACGGCACCCAGCAAACCAGACGGCAGCGUGGCCACUAGAUAAGUGGGGGGGCGUCUGUGAUGAGAAAGUCUUGUUUUGUUUACCCGAACAUUUUCGUGGGACCGACGCGAGACGGCUGUGUGCCCAGGAAGCCGGCUGUGUGAGCCUUUAGCAGUCAGAAAGGAAAGUAGCUUUCCAGUAGUUAGUUAUGACUCUUAAUCGUGUGGGUUUUUUAAGCCAAAUCUAUGACCUGUGAUCAAUAAAGAGGCCAAAAUUUUC